AUGCCACCUCUUUUCAUGAUGUGUUUGAAGCAGCUGGAGAGAGACCUGGAACCUGGUGCUCCAACCAAAUGCUGUAGCUGGGACCAUCCAUCUUGGAGAAAUGGUCCAGGCCAACUGGAAAGUAUCCACAGGUGCCAUGGCCACAUCGAGUCCAAGGAAACAGUGCCAAGCACCCAGAGUCACAGGGGCAGCAACCAAGAAGAUGGUUCCCGAGGUUCACCUUUGCCUGGCCUCGUUUCCCACUGCACCCUGGUUUGUGCCUUCUGCUUACUCGGGAUGCUGCCUUGCCUUUCAGUAAGUGACUUUUCUGCUUAAGUGCCUAGAGUCACUUCCAGAUCUGGACAACUGAAAUCUCUGACUCAGUCAGCUGAGAAUAAUCAUCUAUUAACACCUUAGCUCUUUUAUGAUGUUCUGUCUUGCCAGCUAUUAAGAAGCAAAAGGAACUCCAGGAUAGGGACACUUUGAUGGACCCUGCAGUGGACGUGAGCGGUCCAGAACUCACUUCUGUCUAGAAGUCAAGAGUAUUAGUGUAAGAUGCUGGGUGACUAGAGGUUGUAGAGAAACUGUCACCUCUUUUCCAAAUCUGCUGAGGGAUGACCCUGAAAAAUAGGUCAGUGUUUCACAGUGAUCUGUGCUGAUUACAGCACUGCGUCUGGAAGGAGGUGAUACAUUUUUCCCUAGAACCCCAGAUGGAGAAAUGGGCUCCACCUCCCCCGCCGCUGUUUCAUUCUGGGCUGGAAUUCUGGUUGAAGCUCUCAGAGCAGAGAUUAACAGGGUGCUGUUGUGGAGUCAAGCUGCUGUGAGUUCCUGUCUGUAGGAACUGGGCGGCCUGGGCUGUGUGUGCUCCCCCAUGUGGAAGAGCUCUGCUCCUCCAGGCAGUUCUGCCAGCACCACAGCUGAGGCGUCUGUCAGCCUGGUCUUAGGUCCACAGCUCAGGAAGACCAGUCUCAAAAUGCCACAGCCCUGGGCUUCUCCCAUGGGCUCUUUCACCUUUUAAACCAAGAUGAAGCAAGAGUGUCUGCUUCCUCUGCUUCUUCUGAAGGGCAGUCAGAACACCCACUGCCCUUCUAGCCUCACACAGGAAGUUGCUUAAUGAACUCAAAAAUAAUUAAUCACAGAGAGGAGAUUUCCUACAUUGAGUCUGUGGUUUCCUGCCCUUCAGAACGGGCUUCCUGCCCUCCUUUCCAGCGCCUCUCACUGCCUGUGUAUCAUCCUGGGCUCAGAUACCUGCUUUCCCUCUCCACCAACUCAAUCCUUAUUUUUGCCCUACUUCAUCUUCCUUUUACUUUCCACUGCAAAACUUAUUUUGUCCCAUACCCAUGUGCCCAUUAAUGUUUGCUUUCUGGAAAUAGUUCCACUUCAAGAGAGUUUUAUGGCAUCCUUGGCUCUCUCUCCUGCUGAACUAGACUGAGCAUACAUGUAUCUUUGGCCUUCACCUCACUUCUUCUAAAUCUGAUACUGUUAAGGGUUGAAUUGUCUCUCCCUGAGGAAUAUGUUGAAGUCCUAAUCCACGGUACCUCAAAAUGGAAGAUAUUUGGAAAUAAGGUCAUUGCAGAACUAAUUAGUUAAGAUGAGGUUGUAAUGAAGAAGGACGAGCCCCUACUUAUAAGGACCCAAUCCAAUUUGACUAGUGUCCUUAUAAGAUGACAACCAUGUGAAAUCACAGGGAGAAUGCCGUGUGACAACAAAGGCAGAUGCUGGAGUCAUACAGGUGUAAGCCAAGUAAUAGCAAGAUUGCCAGCAAUCACCUGAAGUUAGGCAGAGGCAAGUGUGGGUGGUUCUCCUACAGCAUGUCUGCUGACUACGUGAUUUUGAACUUUCAGCCCCCAGAACUGUUGGACAAUAAACAUUUGUUGUUCUAAGGCAUCCAGUUUGUGGCAUUGUUGUGGUCGCCGUAGGAAAUGAACACAAAUGCCAUCAGGAAGAUCCCAGGGACUUGCUUCUAGAGCCUCUUCUGCCACCAACCCUGAACUUCACCAGGCUUCCAGUACUUACCUGAAACUUCCUUUGGGCAAAUAAAGCUGAUGUUUCCAUAAGUGGCAGAGCUCUCUAGAAGUUUAAAUUCUGUAACCCAGAAUAUUUGAAGUGGUUGGUUGACCCUCACUGCCUUACUGUGUUUCCCACCUACUCCAGCUGCUUUUUCCCCUCGAAGUGAAUAACCGCCCAGCAUCCCACAUGAGGCUACUAUGGAUUAGGUGCGUGGUUUGUUGCCUGCCUUCCCCCUGCUGGAUGGUAAGCUCCGUGAGGGCAGGGAUCUGAUUUGUUCACUGGCACAAAGUAGGCAUACAAUAAACCUCUGCUGAAUAAACAAAAACUGAGCCAGGACAUUUCCAACCCGACCUCAUGGAAGGGCUACAAUUCCUCUGCAGGAGGCAGGGUGGGGUGGAGUCGGGGGAGGUGGCAGGGCUAGGAACAGUGAAUACUGUGGUCAGGUGCGUGGAAAUGGAAAGGUUGCUUUUCGCUUGUCUGAGGAAUUCAAGCAAGAGAUACAACAAAGGCAGUGAUCUUAAUAGAUCCCUGCUGCUUGAGGGUGUCAGCACCAUUUGACUAUCAGUGUAAUCCCACCCAGAGUGACAGAGGCCACCCAGGAGUCCUUGAGCAGCUGACGUCACCCACUGUUGACCUCUUGUUCUCAGGCUGGUGUGUCCUUGUUCUUUCUCUGACCUGUGUAGGGUGAGAUGAGCUAUUUAGGCAGUAGUCCAAGGGAGACCCCUCUGAAGCUCACCUCAGCACACCUACCCCCUUGGCCUUUUGAGAAAUGGAGAGGGUAAGUUGUUUCUUUUAUAUAUCAUUUUGUACAUAUAUUUAUUUAUUGGCUGUGCUAGGUCUUCAUUGCUGUGAGUGCUUUUCUCGCAGUGAUUGUUGUUUUUCAGUCACUAAGUUGUAUCCGACUCUUUGUGACCCCCACGGACUGCAGCAUGCCAGGCUUCCCUGUCCUUCACUGUCUCCCAGAGUUUGCUCCAGUUCAUGUCCAUUGAGUCAGUGAUGAUAUCUAACUAUCUCAUCCUCUGCCACCCUCUUCUCCUCCUGCCAUCAAUCCUUCCCAGCAUUAGGGUCUUUUCCAGUGAGUUGGCUCUUCACAUCAGGUAGCCAGAGUAUUGAAGCUUCAGCUUCAACUGCAGCAUCAGUUCUUCCAAUGAAUAUUCAGGGUUGAUUUUCUUUAGGAUUGACUGGUUUGAUCAGCUUGCAGUCCAAGAGACUCUCAAGAGUUGCCAUGGUCAGAGGCUACUCUGCAGUUGUGUUGCACUGGCUUCUCGUUGUCGUAACUUCUCUUGUGGCUUCUCUUGUUGCUGAGCCCAGGCUCUAGGGCGUACAGACUUCAGUAGUUGUGGCAUGAGGGCACAGUACUUGUGUUUCCAGACUCUAGAGCACAGGCUCAGUACUUGUGGCUCACAGGCUUAGUUGCUCCGUGGCAUGUGGGAUCUUUCUGGACCAGGGAUCAAACCUUGCUUUGGCAAAUGGAUUCUUUACCACUGAGCCACCAGGGAAGCCCCUGAACAGUGUAAGUUUAAUGAAGGUGAUGUGAUGGGAGAAUAAAAUCAGCAGCGUGGAAAUGAUCUUAGGACAGUGUUCAUACGGACUCAAUUUCCAAGAAGAGAUGAGCACGUGUCACCAAGGUGGACAGGAUAGAAUAAAUAGAUACAAGUCUUUAAAGUUGUUAAACCAACCAUCUUCAUAGUAGGCACUUGCUUUUCUCUAAAGUGAAAACUAUAAGCAAAUUGAUAAUGUACUGGAAAAGUUAUUAACUGAUGUUUUAGAUGCCAUCCCAA
ensembl:lncRNA